GACGAACGCUGGCGGCGUGCCUAAUACAUGCAAGUCGAGCGAGCGGAACCAACAGAUUUACUUCGGUAAUGAACGUUUGGGAAAGCGAGCGGCGGAUGGGUGAGUAACACGUGGGGAACCUGCCCCUAAGUCUGGGAGUACCAGUUAGAAAUGGCUGCUAAUACCCCAUAAGACCACAGCACCGCAUGGUGCAGGGGUAAAAACUCCGGUGGUAUGAGAUGGACCCGCGUCUGAUUAGGUAGUUGGUGGGGUAACGGCCUACCAAGCCGACGAUCAGUAGCCGACCUGAGAGGGUGACCGGCCACAUUGGGACUGAGACACGGCCCAA
rnacentral:rRNA from 1 species